AUUAUAACAAUAAAUGUAUGGAAAGUAAAUAUAUCACCCGUAGGUGAUAAGAGACACAAGCGCUGGUACACAAUAACAAUCGGCUGGUCCUUAAAGUUUGCACUGUACCUAGUGCCAGUCUGAAUGACCAGGUGGUGUGCUGCUAGAAUAAGUGGUGUCAGAAUAUGAAUCAAUAUCGGAAUCAGACCAUAUAAUCAAUUGUUGGGGAAGAGUACAUGGUUUAUUAUAUAUAGAUAUUGGCACUAGGAAUAGGGUGGUAAGGGAGUGGUUAAUGCUGAUAUAACCAC